UGUUGGUCUUUAUUUCUGUAUCACAUCGCGGUGAGUUUCUAUUUCUUGGUAAUUCGGUUUGUGAAAUGACUAUUAAUUACAAGCACAGCAUCAUCAACGGUGAUUGCAAGAACUAUUGCAAUCCCUGCGGUUUUCCUCUUGGUAAAUGCGUUCUGGUCGUGACCAAGGGUGGUGUCCCAAAUCGGCCGGGAAUAAGGCUAUUGUUGCAGAACAAAAUGCCGCAACCACUGCUGUGGUAAAUAUGUUCCAGCAGAACUGCCCACCGCCGUCGGUGUAAUGAUUUCGAUAGCUGAACAAACGCCAUCUCCUGGGCAUUCCCACAGCUUGCCGACACUAGCUAUUAUAUCACGUGUGAAUGCAACUGCGGCUAAAUUUGGUUAUUAACAGUGCAAUAGUACCAUGUCAUUGGCAAAAACAUGGCGCUGUCCAUCGGCAACCCAACUGAGGUUCCGUUCCCAUCCAUAAUCGAUCCAUAAGUCAUAAUCGUACGAACUAAUCAAGGCUAAUAAAAUCCAUCGUAGUCCGAUUUUUCGUGAAAUCUACGAAAAUGCUAUUAAGUUGAGUAGCUACGAACGCAGCGCUUGCUUUGAAUACACAAAUCUCACAAAUACAUUCUCAUUUUC
rnacentral:misc_RNA from 1 species